UACGGAGGGGGCCAGCGUUGUUCGGAAUCAUUGGGCGUAAAGGGCGCGUAGGCGGCCAAUCAAGUCCGACGUGAAAUUCCCCGGCUCAACCGGGGGCCUGCGUCGGAUACUGCUUGGCUUGAGUCCCGGAGAGGGUAGUGGAAUUCCCAGUGUAGCGGUGAAAUGCGUUGAUAUCAUCUGGAAUACCGGAGGCGAAGGCGGCUCACUGGGGGUUUUCUGACGCUGAGGCACGAAGGUCAGGGGAGCAAAGCGGG
rnacentral:rRNA from 1 species